GAUGAACGCUAGCGAUAGGCCUAACACAUGCAAGUCGAGGGGCAGCACAUGAAGUAGCAAUACGGAUGGUGGCGACCGGCGCACGGGUGAGUAACGCGUAUGCAACCUGCCUACAACAGGGGAAUAACCCGUUGAAAGACGGACUAAUACCCCAUGACACAGGGAUCCCGCAUGGGAAUAUUUGUUAAAGAUUUAUCGGUUGUAGAUGGGCAUGCGUUCCAUUAGCUUGUUGGUGAGGUAACGGCUCACCAAGGCAACGAUGGAUAGGGGAACUGAGAGGUUUAUCCCCCACACUGGUACUGAGACACGGACCAGACUCCUACGGGAGGCAGCAGUGAGGAAUAUUGGUCAAUGGACGCAAGUCUGAACCAGCCACGUCGCGUGAAGGAAGACGGCCCUACGGGUUGUAAACUUCUUUUGUAAGGGAAUAAAGUGCAGUACGCGUACUGUUUUGCAUGUACCUUACGAAUAAGGAUCGGCUAACUCCGUG
rnacentral:rRNA from 1 species